UACGUAGGGUGCAAGCGUUGUCCGGAAUUACUGGGCGUAAAGAGCUCGUAGGCGGUCCGUCACGUCGGAUGUGAAAUUCCAGGGCUCAACCCUGGACCUGCAUUCGAUACGGGCGGACUAGAGUUCGGUAGGGGAGACUGGAAUUCCUGGUGUAGCGGUGAAAUGCGCAGAUAUCAGGAGGAACACCGGUGGCGAAGGCGGGUCUCUGGGCCGAUACUGACGCUGAGGAGCGAAAGCGUGGGGAGCGAACAGG
rnacentral:rRNA from 1 species